rnacentral:rRNA from 1 species
CCUACGGGAGGCAGCAGUGGGGAAUAUUGCACAAUGGGGGAAACCCUGAUGCAGCGACGCCGCGUGAGUGAAGAAGUAUUUCGGUAUGUAAAGCUCUAUCAGCAGGGAAGAAAAUGACGGUACCUGAGUAAGAAGCCCCGGCUAACUACGUGCCAGCAGCCGCGGUAAUACGUAGGGGGCAAGCGUUAUCCGGAUGUACUGGGUGUAAAGGGAGCGUAGACGGCAGCACAAGGCUGGAGUGAAAUGCCGGGGCUUAACCCCGGAACUGCUUUGGAAACUGUGCAGCUAGAGUGCAGGAGAGGUAAGUGGAAUUCCUGGUGGAGCGGUGAAAUGCGUAGAUAUUAGGAGGAACACCAGUGGCGAAGGCGGCUUACUGGACUGUAACUGACGUUGAGGCACGAAAGCGUGGGGAGCAAACAGGAUUAGAUACCCCAGUAGUC